GCAGCAGUGAGGAAUAUUGGUCAAUGGUCGAAAGACUGAACCAGCCAUGCCGCGUGCAGGAUGAAUGUUCUAUGAAUUGUAAACUGCUUUUCUACAGGAAGAAACCUACCCUCGUGAGGGUNUCUGACGGUACUGUAGGAAUAAGCAUCGGCUAACUCCGUGCCAGCAGCCGCGGUAAUACGGAGGAUGCAAGCGUUAUCCGGAUUUAUUGGGUUUAAAGGGUGNGUAGGCGGAAUAUUAAGUCAGUGGUGAAAUCCUUCGGCUCAACCGAAGAACUGCCAUUGAUACUGAUAUUNUUGAANGUAGNNGAGGUAGGNGGAAUGUGUAAUGUAGCGGUGAAAUGNUUAGAUAUUACACAGAACACCGAUUGNGANGGCAGCUUACUAAANUAUGAUUGACGCUAAUGCACGAAAGCGUGGGGAGCGAACAGGAUUAGAUACCNUGGUAGUCCACGCCGUAAANUAUGAUCANUCGUUGUNUGUGAUAUACCAUANGCGACCNAAGCGAAAGCA
rnacentral:rRNA from 1 species